AGUGUAGCUGGGAGUACAACGCAGCCAACCGCAGCUGAAUAAAACCAGGUGAUCCAUUUAAUGAGUCUUCAGAGUAAACAAAGAAACAAAAAAGCCCAACUCUGUUGCUAAACAAGUAUUAGCAAACAAGAAGUUAAAAAUGUUACGACUGUUAAUCACUAAGAUACUCACCAAGACAUAAAAUAUUUUUCAGCUCUUUCAUAAAGCAGUGGCCACCCUCAUGUUGACUACCACAGAUACAGAAAUCUUUUCUUGUACUAUGUGCCUAUCCAUAGUUAAAUUAUGUGAGAUAAAAAAUACAUUUUAAACAAAGCUGCGCAUUCUCAGACACGUAUGAUUUAUUUGAACUACCAGGAGCUUUCCUCCAAGGAUUCCUCACAGUCUCCUCCUAAUAACCUAUGAGAUGUUUGUUGAAAGAUGGGAUGAGCCACUACCCCAGUGCAUAUCACUUCUGCAAUCAUUAUGAGAUCUGCAAAGAACAGAAUUAAAUUCCAAACUCUUUUUCUUUACUGCUCAAGGGAGAUCUUGAGCUCAAACUCCCAUUUGAAGAAGUUUAAAAGGAGCAAGGAAGAGACACCAUAUGAUCACGAUAGCACUGAAUGCACACAGAAAAUGUGCUGAGAACAUUUCAUCAUAAAAAAAUAAGAGACAGAGAAAUUAAAAUUAUCUGGUUGCUGCAUAGGCUUAUGGGUUCUGGAGAACAGCAAACAGUGGGGGAUGAAAUUGUGUCCAGUUACUACUUUAAGACAACAAGGUGACGGUAAGGUUUCGGUGCCUCAAGAAUGUUUCCACUGGGAUCAGGGAAUACUCACAGGAAUAAAUAUCACACUUGCAUCAGAAGGAAAAAGUUCACUCCCUGGGCUUCGCUGAAGUGCUAGAAAAGUAGCCAAGAAAUUCCAAGGCCGUUCUGAGCGGCUGUGGAUAAGAUUACAUUCAGCUCAGCACUUUAGUAUGAACAGCUGAGAAGAGCACAGAAGUGGAUAGGAAGGAACUCCUGAUGGCUCCACCUCCCAGAGAAACAUUAUUCAUAAAAUAAAAAAUAUAUUUCUGCAACUUACCUCUUUCUUAAGGGAAACUGGACCAGCUAGACAGCUAGGGAAGCAGAGCAAGAGGUGGAAAAGCCUUUAAAUCACUGAUUCUUAUCCCAUCUGCAGUGUUCAUCCAAGUUUCCUAAAUAGUUCUGGUUUCACAUCAGACAAGCACAGACAACAGAGGCACAGAAUCAGAGAAUGUUUGAGGUUGGAAGGGAUCUCUGAACGUCAUCUUAUCCAGCCCAUUUCUCCAACAAGGCUACUUGGAGCUGCUUGUCCAGGACCACAUCCAGAUUUUGAACAUUAUUUCCAUAAAUGAAGACUCGUGGUUUUGGUUGUGGUAGAAUUCAUUUUCUUCCCAGUGGCUGAUAUAGAGCUGUGAUUUGGAUUUUUUCUGAAUCUAGGGUUGAUAAUAAACUUUUUUUUUUUUAUUACUGAGCAGGGCUUACAUUGAGCCAAGGCCUUUUCUGCUUUUCAUGCUGUCAUGCUAGUGAGAGAUCUGGGGGUGCAUGGAUGGUCACAGCCAGGACAGGUGACCUAAACUGACCAAAGGGAUAUUCCAGACGAUACGACACCAUGCUCAGUAUAUAAAAUGAAGGGAAGAAGGGAGAAGGGGGGGUCAUUUGCAGUGUUGACAUUUGUCUUCCCAGGUAACUGCUGGGUGUGAUGGGGCCCUGCUGUCCUGGAGAUGGUUGAACAGCUGCCUGCCCUUGGGAAGCAGUGAAUUCCUUGGUUUGCUGUGCCUGUGUGUGCAGCUUUUGCUUUUCCUGGUAAACUGUCUUUAUCUCAACCCAGAAGUAUGUUUACCCUUCCAAUUCCCUCCCUGAUCCUGCUGGUGGGAGUGAGCAAGCAGCUGUGUGGGGUUUGGCUGCUGGCUGGGGUUAACCAUGACAAGAAUACAAAACCUCUCUGGGCAACCAGGGCCAGCUCUUGGGUUCUGU